UCUGUGCUUCUGAUGUGGGUUCCCAGAGGAGCGACGCUUUCCAGCGCGGGCAUGGUCGGCAUGGCCACGUCAGCCCUCAGGCGGUGCUGGGCGGACGAGUGACCGAGGGGAGGACCCCCGAGCCUGGCGAGGACCGUUUCAGAAGUGAUGCUGUGCGCUUCUCCAUGCGAGCUGCCUGGAGGUGCACGGCGUCUGCUUUCCCGUGCUGGUGGUAGCGAUGUUCACCCCACAGAAGUUGCUCUGGAUUUGGGCGGUGGGAGCCCCUUCACGCUGCUUCCUGCCGUUUGACACCCCCCCCCCCCCCCCCCCCCCCCCCCGUCAGUCUCUGCGUGCUUCCUCACCUCCUGCCGACCUGAGGCAUUCCAUUUGGAGCAUUCCUGCUCC